UGGCUACACAGGAACCACCGAG
rnacentral:misc_RNA from 1 species